UACGAAGGGUGCAAGCGUUACUCGGAAUUACUGGGCGUAAAGCGUGCGUAGGUGGUUUGUUAAGUCUGUUGUGAAAGCCCCGGGCUCAACCUGGGAAUGGCAAUGGAUACUGGCAAGCUAGAGUGCGGUAGAGGGUAGUGGAAUUCCCGGUGUAGCGGUGAAAUUCGUAGAUAUCGAGAGGAACACCGGUGGCGAAGGCGGCCAACUGGACGAAUACUGACGCUGAGACACAAAAGCGUGGGGAGCAAACAGG
rnacentral:rRNA from 1 species